UACUCCCCCGAGGAGCUCCCCCUCUGCCUACAAAUCCCUUAUUUUCUCGUCUAUUCAAUCGAGCCCCUGUUCCUCAAUCUGGUGGGAUGACUACGAGGCGGCACUCGAUCUGGAGGCAUGGAGGCGGCAUGGGGUGGGCGCUCGUCGUCCUUGAGCUCCACUUCUUUAGCAACUCCAGACCCUCCUCAACAUCUUUGCCGUUCUCGACAUGGGGUGGGCUGCGGAAGUUGACCCUGCGGUACUCGUGCAAGCGUGGCUCCCUCCUCCAGUUGCUCAUCGGCCUCACUUUCCCCAUUAGGAAUCUACUACCUAGGAGUACAUGGAACAUUGGUUCUACCUCAGUUGCGCAUUUUUUUAGAAAUCAAGAGGCCACUGGUUUAUUAUUUUCAGUGGUGGGGACAGCUUUGCAACUGUAGGUAGAACAUAGUAUGAGUUAGCACUUACGAGCAGUCAAGGGGGGUAGGUAGCAUAAAUCACAUCUUUCAUGAUUUGACGUGCAUCACUUUGUAGUGGGUUGGCUAAUAAAUUAGGUAGUGAUGCUGCCUGGUAUUGUUCUGUACACUCCUGCAUCAUUAAGUUUUCCAGGCAACAACAGCACAAUGCUGAUAAUGAAAAGGAUAGGUGCAAGUUCAGACAGCUUAGGGUAUACAGAAGUUGCUUACAGGGUUGUAGUUGGAACAUGGGACCAUUAAUAUUGUUUGAUAUUGUGUCGUUGUCGAGUGGACAAUUUGAUAUUGGUCUCAGCCAAACAUAAAAAAGGCACCACAUGUCAAAUCAAUAAGCUGCUUCCUGGUUGAUCUUAAAUUAGUUGAUCGGUGGUAGUGAACUGGCAACGACGAAUUGGGUUGGUUUGAUAUAUAGAUCCAUGUGUACUUGCUGAUCUUUGACUAGCCAGUGCUAGUCCUUUUUGAUGUUUUCAGGUCCCAAAAUGCGCCUUCGUUGAAAUUUGUAGGAGAUGAUUUGAUUUAUUGUAGAAGUACAACUGCUGCUGCUGGAGCUCAUGCCUCAAGAAAGGCCAUCCAUUGUUUAUGGAAGGAGACCCGGAGAAGAACAACCAACUUUAUCUAAAAAUUGAAGAGCUAGCACCAAAGAGCCCCAGCCCACCUCCAAGAUCAAGUUCUAUGUGAAAUGGCGGACGAGGAGUUAACUGAUAUGAUGGUAGACAUGGAGUUUGGAGAACUGAUGAAAGACUGGAUAGAAGAUUGGUCAGAUGAUGAAAAUUCAGAUCUUGGAGAUCAGUCAGAGAAUGGGAACGAAUGGGAAGAUUUUAAUGUGAGUGGCAUUAU